CCCACCGGCACUUCAUUGCAAGUGAAGAUCCAGUGCGUCUAUAUAUUUAUAUAUAUACGCACUGGAUCUUCACUUGCAAUGAAGUGCCGGAG
rnacentral:pre_miRNA from 1 species